rnacentral:tRNA from 1 species
GCCUGGCUGGCUCAGUUGGCUGAGCACCCGACUUCAGCUCAGGUCAUAAUCUCAUGGUUCGUGGGUUUGAGUCCCAUGUCAGGCU